rnacentral:rRNA from 1 species
CUACGGGAGGCAGCAGUAGGGAAUACUGGACAAUGGGCGAAAGCCUGAUCCAGCAACACCGCGUGCACGAUGACGGCCUUCGGGUUGUAAAGUGCUUUUAGAGGAGAUGAGAAAGGACAGUAUCCUCUGAAUAAGCCUCGGCGAACUACGUGCCAGCAGCCGCGGUAAAACGUAGGAGGCAAGCGUUAUCCGGAUUUAUUGGGCGUAAAGCGCGUGCAGGCGGUCUAGCAAGUUGGAUGUGAAAGCUCCCGGCUCAACUGGGAGAGGUCGUUCAAUACUGUUAGACUAGAGAAUAGGAGAGGGAGGUGGAAUUCCGGGUGUAGUGGUGAAAUGCGUAGAUAUCCGGAGGAACACCAGUGGCGAAAGCGGCCUCCUGGACUAUUUCUGACGCUAAGACGCGAAAGCUAGGGUAGCAAACGGGAUUAGAUACCCUUGUAGUC